ensembl:snRNA Gm24409 predicted gene, 24409
ACACUUACCCGGCAACCGAAAGACCAUAAUCGAGAAGGUGGCUUUCUCAAGGUGAGGCCCAUCCCUUGCUCCUGAGAUGCACUGACUCCUAUGGUUUCUCCACUGCCACAUGAUCUGUGAUAGCGGGGAACUGUAUUCAUGCUCCCCUUUA